rnacentral:rRNA from 1 species
ACAGAGAUUAGCCCAGCACCGAAGCCUGCGCUGCUUAGCGUAGGCAAUGUGGUGUUCAGGCUUGGACCUGGGAUUGGUCAUUGGCUCUAGUCCAUUCUUGAAAAUGGCUGCUAAAACGGGUGAUAGCCCCGUACGAGUCAAUGUUGUGCAUACCAGUCCUAGUUGUUCAGGCCUUGGAGUCGGAUUGUUUGAGAAUGCAGUCCAAAGUUGGUGGUAAACUCCAUCAAAGGCUAAAUACCUGCGUGAGUCCGAUAGCUAACAAGUACCGUGAGGGAAAGUUGAAAAGUACUCUAAAUAGAGAGUAAAUAGUACGUGAAACUACAUAGAGGUUAACCGAACGGAGUCAGACUUCUCGACCAACAUAAUGAAUCCCCGGGUUGUGUGGAAGGUUAGUAAUGCAUUGGGAUUGCUUAAACUCUUUCGUGUGCUUUUGUUACAUUGACCGAGUUCAGUGCUAUUGCUAAUUCCCUGGUGUAUUAUGUUGGUUAGCAGCUCAUUCAGUGUCUGCUUCUCGUUUACCCGAUAAACAUGAUGAGCUUUGAGCAAUCGGAGCAUGUCAUGAUGGCAGAAAUCGGGGUGCCUUCGGGUACUCUGAUUACUUGGCUUCGGCCUGCUUUCGGGAUAAGCAAGAUAGUGGUACACUGGUUGAUUGGUUGGUCGCUCAGUGGGUGAAUCGGUGGAGUUGUGUGGUAUCGUCACGUAGUGAGGUG